UACGUAGGGGGCUAGCGUUGUCCGGAAUCAUUGGGCGUAAAGCGCGUGUAGGCGGCCCGGUAAGUCCGCUGUGAAAGUCGGGGGCUCAACCCUCGGAUGCCGGUGGAUACUGUCGGGCUCGAGUACGGAAGAGGCGAGUGGAAUUCCUGGUGUAGCGGUGAAAUGCGCAGAUAUCAGGAGGAACACCAAUUGCGAAGGCAGCUCGCUGGGACGUAACUGACGCUGAGACGCGAAAGCGUGGGGAGCAAACAGG
rnacentral:rRNA from 1 species